CAACUUUCAACAACGGAUCUCUUGGCUCUCGCAUCGAUGAAGAACGCAGCGAAAUGCGAUAUGUAAUGUGAAUUGCAGAAUUCAGUGAAUCAUCGAAUCUUUGAACGCACCUUGCGCCCCUUGGCAUUCCGAGGGGCACACCCGUUUG
rnacentral:rRNA from 1 species